rnacentral:tRNA from 1 species
GCCUUCGUGGUGUAGUGGUCAGCACGCUCGACGCGUAACCGAGAGGUCCGGGGUUCGUUUCCCGCCGAAGGCG